ACCGCGGAUAAAAUGUGGUGCGG
rnacentral:siRNA from 1 species